rnacentral:rRNA from 1 species
CGCGUAGACGGUUCUUGUAAGUCAGAUGUGAAAUCCCUGGGCUCAACCUGGGAACUGCAUUUGAUACUGCAUGGCUAGAGUAUGGAAGAGGGAAGUGGAAUUUCCGGUGUAGCGGUGAAAUGCGUAGAUAUCGGAAGGACACCAGUGGCGAAAGCGACUUCCUGGUCCAAUACUGACGUUCGUGUGCGAAAGCGUGGGGAGCAAACAGGAUUAGAUACCCUGGUAGUCCACGCCAUAAACGAUGACACUAGAUGUUGGGGAGGUCUGCCUCUCGGUGUCGCAGCUAACGCGUUAAGUUGUCCGCCUGGGGAGUACGGCCGCAAGGUUGAAA